rnacentral:lncRNA from 1 species
AAAACCCCAUUCCUGGCGUGAAAGAAAACAAUUUGAUCCUUUUUCGGCUAUUUCUUUCUCUGAAGAAGGACAAACUUCCCGAGUUGAAUUUUUCGAAGAUUGUUUAUGAAGACUUAUCAUGGAAAAUGAAAGCAAAGUACCUCAUGAUCAUGGAAAUUCUAAAUUUCGACAAGGACUCAGUUCUGAAUAUAAGUACGCUUUAUCCAUAUCUCAUUCCAAAACUCUUCGACAGUAUGAAAAUAAACUAUCUAGUGUCUGCAUGCACAGAAUUGUACCUGUUUAUCAUCAGCUGCAUUGAUUUCGAACAGUGGAAGAGAACAUUUUUGAAGCAGCUAGUCUUUGUACUAACUUCGGAACACGACAAUGAAUCUCAGAAGUGGAAUAUUUUAAAUCAUUGGACUAUCAAAACCCUGAAAAAGUUUCCGCAGUCAGUAGAAUUUCUUCUAUCCAUUUUACUUGAUGAGAAAAAUAGCAACGUUUCCUCCUGCGCUCUUCUAGCCAUUAUAAUGUGUCUCAAAACGCUUCGAAAACAAGGGAUAAAGGCUAUAAAGAAUUUGAUGACUUAA